GAGUUUGAUCCUGGCUCAGAACGAACGCUGGCGGCAGGCCUAACACAUGCAAGUCGAACGCGACUUCGGUCGAGUGGCGCACGGGUGAGUAACGCGUGGGAACCUGCCCUGUGGUACGGAAUAACAUCGGGAAACUGAUGCUAAUACCGUAUAUCUCCUGAGGGAGAAAGAUUUAUCGCCACAGGACGGGCCCGCGUAGGAUUAGCUAGUUGGUGAGGUAACGGCUCACCAAGGCGACGAUCCUUAGCUGGUCUGAGAGGAUGAUCAGCCACACUGGGACUGAGACACGGCCCAGACUCCUACGGGAGGCAGCAGUGGGGAAUAUUGGACAAUAGGGGAAACCCUGAUCCAGCCAUGCCGCGUGAGUGAUGAAGGCCUUCGGGUUGUAAAGCUCUUUCGCACGCGACGAUGAUGACGGUAGCGUGAGAAGAAGCCCCGGCUAACUUCGUGCCAGCAGCCGCGGUAAUACG
rnacentral:rRNA from 1 species